rnacentral:rRNA from 1 species
CUAAGAAUCUUCCGCAAUGGGCGCAAGCCUGACGGAGCGACGCCGCGUGGGCGAAGAAGGCCGCAAGGUUGUAAAGUCCUUUUCGGGAAGAUGAAUAAGGAGAGCAUGCAAUGGUUUUCCGAUGACAUGAAUCCCGGAAUAAGCCCCGGCUAACUACGUGCCAGCAGCCGCGGUAACACGUAGGGGGCGAGCGUUGUUCGGAAUCAUUGGGCGUAAAGGGCGCGCAGGCGGCGUUUAAAGUCUGGCGUGGAAGUCCCCGGCUCAACCGGGGGACGGCGUUGGAAACUGGGACGCUUGAGUAAGGCAGGGGAUGGCGGAAUUCCAGGUGUAGGGGUGAAAUCUGUAGAUAUCUGGAGGAACACCGACGGCGAAGGCAGCCAUCUGGUCCAUUACUGACGCUGAGGCGCGAAGGUGCGGGGAGCAAACAGG